rnacentral:misc_RNA from 1 species
AAAGUCGUAACAAGGUUUCCGUAGGUGAACCUGCGGAAGGAUCAUUACUGAAGUGAUUUGGGGAUGUUGCUGGCCUCUUCUCCAGGGGCAAAUGUGCACUCCCUAAACAAUUCACAAUUUCCAUCACACCCUUGUGCACAUCUUGUAGGUGCCGCCCAUGGGUUUGGGUGGUCCUAUGUAUUCCUACCAUUGCACACUUUUUUUUGAAUGCAUCUUAUGGAUUAUUUGUAUAAAAGUAAUCGCAGAAACAACUUUCAACAAUGGAUCUCUUGGCUCUC